ensembl:snRNA U6 U6 spliceosomal RNA
GUGCUCACUUUGGCAGCACAUAUACUAAAAUUGGAAUGAUACAGAGAAGAUUAACAUGGCCCCUGUACAAGGAUGAUACUCAAAUUCAUGAAGCAUUCCAUAUUUAA